UCUGGCUGUACUGCUGCAGGGCCGGCUGGAGCACCGUGAUGGGGAUGCUGAAGUUCAGGUGGGGGUAUGUGGCCCCCGUGUUAUUGUCCCGGGUGUUGCUGGCGACGAUGCCUGUUCAGGAGACAGAGAGGAAAAGAAGCUCCAUGAGGGCCAGGCUGCCCCAGGCUGUGUUUUGUUCAUAAUCUCCCCAGGACCUGGAAGAGUGCCUGGCAGAGUGGGAUCUCAACACAUACUUGUUGAGUGAAUGAAUAAAUGAAUCAGACUCACA